rnacentral:rRNA from 1 species
GAGUUUGAUCCUGGCUCAGAAUGAACGCUGGCGGCGUGCUUAACACAUGCAAGUCGGACGAGAAAGGCUGAUUUCGGUUGGCCGAGUAAAGUGGCGCACGGGUGAGUAACGCGUAGGCAACCUACCCUUGUAUUGGGGAUAACCCUGCGAAAGUGGGGCUAAUACCGGAUGAGACCCUAUUCUGGAGGGGAUAGGGUGAAAGUCGGCCGCUCGGAGAAGCUGACGUACGAGGAUGGGCCUGCGUCCUAUCAGCUGGUUGGUGGGGUAGCGGCCUACCAAGGCGACGACGGGUAGCUGGUCUGAGAGGAUGAUCAGCCACACUGGCACUGGAACACGGGCCAGACUCCUACGGGAGGCAGCAGUGAGGAAUUUUGCGCAAUGGCCGCAAGGCUGACGCAGCAACGCCGCGUGGGUGAUGAAGGCCUUCGGGUCGUAAAGCCCUGUCAGGUGGGAAGAAAGGCCUGGAGAGGAAAGGUUUCAGGUUUGACGGUACCACCAGAGGAAGCACCGGCUAACUCCGUGCCAGCAGCCGCGGUAAUACGGAGGGUGCGAGCGUUAUUCGGAAUUACUGGGCGUAAAGCGCGUGUAGGCGGGGGGACAAGUCUGAUGUGAAAGCCCUGGGCUUAACCUGNGAAGUGCAUUGGAAACUGUUUUUCUUGAGUACUGGAGAGGAAGGGGGAAUUCCCGGUGUAGAGGUGAAAUUCGUAGAGAUCGGGAGGAAUACCAGUGGCGUAGGCGCCCUUCUGGA